rnacentral:rRNA from 1 species
GAUGAACGCUGGCGGCAUGCCUAAUACAUGCAAGUCGAACGAGAGGAAGGAAAGCUUGCUUUCCUGAAUCUAGUGGCGAACGGGUGAGUAACACGUAGGUAACCUGCCCAUGUGCCCGGGAUAACUUCUGGAAACGGAUGCUAAAACCGGAUAGGUAGCAGACAAGCAUUUGACUGCUAUUAAAGUGGCCUUGGCCAUGAACAUGGAUGGACCUGCGGUGCAUUAGCUAGUUGGUGAGGUAACGGCCCACCAAGGCGACGAUGCAUAGCCGGCCUGAGAGGGCGGACGGCCACAUUGGGACUGAGACACGGCCCAAACUCCUACGGGAGGCAGCAGUAGGGAAUUUUCGUCAAUGGGGGGAACCCUGAACGAGCGAUGCCGCGUGAGUGAGGAAGGUCUUCGGAUCGUAAAGCUCUGUUGUAAGAGAAAAACGGCACUCAUAGGGAAUGAUGAGUGAGUGAUGGUAUCUUACCAGAAAGUCACGGCUAACUACGUGCCAGCCGCCGCAGUAACAC